rnacentral:rRNA from 1 species
GACGAAGUCUGACGGAGCACGCCGCGUGAGUGAAGAAGGUUUUCGGAUCUGUAAAACUCUGUUGUCAGGGAAGAACAAGUAUGAGAGUAACUGCUCGUACCUUGACGGUACCUGGCCAGAAAGCCACGGCUAACUACGUGCCAGCAGCCGCGGUAAUACGUAGGUGGCAAGCGUUGUCCGGAAUUAUUGGGCGUAAAGCGCGCGCAGGCGGCCUUUUAAGUCUGAUGUGAAAGCCCCCGGCUCAACCGGGGAGGGUCAUUGGAAACUGGAAGGCUUGAGUGCAGAAGAGAAGAGCGGAAUUCCACGUGUAGCGGUGAAAUGCGUAGAGAUGUGGAGGAACACCAGUGGCGAAGGCGGCUCUUUGGUCUGUAACUGACGCUGAGGCGCGAAAGCGUGGGGAGCAAACAGGAUUAGAUACCCUGGUAGUCCACGCCGUAAACGAUGAGUGCUAAGUGUUGGGGGGUUUCCGCCCCUCGGUGCUGCAGCUAACGCAUUAAGCACUCCGCCUGGGGAGUACGGCCGCAAGGCUGAAACUCAAAUGAAUUGACGG